UAUGCUAGGAUGUGAUGGGGAAUCCCUCCGGGGCGAAGUAGCUGAUUUCACACUGUCAAGAAAAGCUUCUAUCGAGUUUAAAGGCGCCCGUACCAUAAACCGACACAGGUGGGUGAGGAGAGUAUCCUAAGGCCAGCGAGAGAACUAUUGUUAAGGAACUCGGCAAAAUGACCCCGUAACUUAGGGAGAAGGGGUGCCUGUCUAUGACAGGCCGCAGAGAAUAGGCCCAAGCGACUGUUUACCAAAAACACAGGUUUCUGCUAAGUCGCAAGACGAUGUAUAGGAGCUGAUGCCUGCCCGGUGCUGGAAGGUUAAGGGGAUCUGUUAGAGCAAUCGAAGCAGUGAACUUAAGCCCCAGUAAACGGCGGCCGUAACUAUAACGGUCCUAAGGUAGCGAAAUUCCUUGUCGGGUAAGUUCCGACCCGCACGAAAGGCGUAACGAUUUGGGCACUGUCUCAACAAUAGACUCGGUGAAAUUGUAAUCCCGGUGAAGAUGCCGGGUACCUGCGACAGGACGGAAAGACCCCAUGGAGCUUUACUGUAGCUUGACGUUGGGUCUUGGUACUACAUGUACAGGAUAGGUGGGAGACUAUGAAGCAUGGACGCCAGUCUGUGUGGAGUCAUCCUUGGGAUACCACCCUUGUAGUACUGGGAUCCUAACCAUAGGCCUUGAAUCAGGUCUUGGAACACCGUCAGGUGGGCAGUUUGACUGGGGCGGUCGCCUCCUAAAAAGUAACGGAGGCGCUCAAAGGUUUCCUCAGCACGGUCGGAAAUCGUGCGAAGAGUGUAAAGGCAAAAGGAAGCUUGAUUGCAAGACAUACAGGUCGAGCAAGGACGAAAGUCGGACUUAGUGAUCCGGUGGUACCGCAUGGAAGGGCCAUCGCUCAACGGAUAAAAGCUACCCUGGGGAUAACAUGCUUAUCUCCCCCAAGAGUCCACAUCGACGGGGAGGUUUGGCACCUUGAUGUCGGCUCAUCACAUCCUGGGGCUGUAGUAGGUCCCAAGGGUUGGGCUGUUCGCCCAUUAAAGUGGUACGCGAGCUGGGUUCAGAACGUCGUGAGACAGUUCGGUCCCUAUCCGUCGCAGGCGUAGGAAAUUUGAGAAGACCUGUCCUUAGUACGAGAGGACCGGGAUGGACGUACCUCUGGUGUACCAGUUGUUCUGCCAAGGGCAUGGCUGGGUAGCUAUGUACGGAAUGGAUAAGCGCUGAAAGCAUCUAAGCGCGAAGCCAACUUCAAGAUAAGAUUUCCCACCGUAAGGGUAAGACCCCAGGAAGACUACCUGGUUGAUAGGUCGAAGGUGUAAGUGCAGUAAUGUAUUUAGCUUAUCGAUACUAAUAGGUCGAGGACUUGACC
rnacentral:rRNA from 1 species